rnacentral:lncRNA from 1 species
AUGAGAUGUUAGUUGGUACAGGCAGGGGUUUCCAGGACCGGCACGCCCUUGCGGAGUGCCUGCUGGAGGGAGCCGGUGUGUCCAGGACGCCCUUGCGGAGUGUCUGCUGGAGGGAGCCGGUGUGUCAGUGAGAUGGCUAUGCCCCUGGGCUGCUGCGUCCCAGGUUUCCUCAGUCUCUAACCCUUUGUUCUCACAGGGGAUGGACUCUUCCUUCUUUUCCCAACUCCACCAAGAGGGACCGUCCCAGGACGUCCUUCCCUGGGCAUCCAGCCCUACAGCUGCCUGAGGUCUCCAUCACCGUUGGCGCCAUCAGUCUGCUGUGCAGCCAGCUGUUGGUUUGGAGAGCCUGAAGAACUGCAGUUCACGUCUCAUCUAAAGGAGCUGAAAUGAUAUUGCAGCUUUCUCUUUUGGUUGCGUGCGGUGAGAAUCUGGGAGCUGAACCUGUUAUCUGCAUGGUCUUCAGAAAUCAGGCAAACUCGGAAAAUGCCAACGCCAAAAAUGCUGAUGGGUGACAAAGUGUCACAGGUGUGAUGCAUUACAAAUCUCAGGACUUUUGUUCACUGGAUUUGAAAGGUCAAGCUUCACAGGAAAAUGAUGAAGUCCCAAAAGACCAGAAAUAUAUUUCAGAAGAUGCCAGUUACUGCUUUAAAAUGUCAAACCAACAUUUCAGAAAUAACUUUCAAUGAUUAUUUCCUGCCAAGAAGGUGAACGCUGGAGACCUUAAUGGUGGAAGAUGGAGGGCGUCUUUCCUUCUGUUAAGCUGACAACUUGGCUUCCAUCUUGUGAGGACCUCACCCUACCUGGUGGCAGAGGACGUCUGACGCCCUCAAUCAUUGCCAUUACACUUCCCAGCCUGGUGGUCAGUCUCCUGGGGUCUGUGUGUUAACAAACCAUCGACUGGACAAUCGCAGUUUUCCUUAUGAAGGCUUACUUUAAAAAGGCUCUGGAUUUUCAGAAGUGAAGUCGCUUUCAUCCCCGAUUCAGACCCAUCCUCGUGGAGGAAAAAUCCUACCAGAAGAAGGGCUGACCAUAGGAACUUGCCAUUUCCUUGACCCCAUCAUAUCUGAGGAAAAAACAACAGAAAAGGUCGAAACCCACGUGUACCCCCAACGUCCUGAUUGACGACUUUGCCUGCAGCUUCUGCUUUCCUGAAAUUCGCUGCUGCCUUUAGAACCCUUGUCUGCAGCCAGUGGGGGGGAGUUCAGGACUUAGGCGGAGCUGCCCCACCCUCCUGCUUGGCACCUUGCAAAUACAUGCCCUCCCUUCCAUUGCUGCAGACCUCAGAGUGGGCGUCCGGUCUCCUGUGUGGGAUGAGAAUACACGCCCUCCUUUCAAUCGCUGCAGACCUCAGAGUGGACGUCCGGUCUCCUGUGCGGGAUGAGAAUACACACCUUCCCUUCCACCGCUGCAGACCUCAGAGUGGACGUCCGGUCUCCUGUGUGGGAUAAUACACGCCCUCCUUUCAAUCGCUGCGGACCUCAGAGUGGGCGUCCGGUCUCCUGUGCGGGACAAGAAUACACUCCUUCCCUUCCAUCGCUGCAGACCUCAGAGUGGACGUCCGGUCUCCUGUGGGGGAUGAGAUACACUCCUUCCCUUCCACUGCUGCAGACCUCAGAGUGGACGUCCGGUCUCCUGUGUGGGAUGAGAUACACUCCUUCCCUUCCAUCGCUGCAGACCUCAGAGUGGACGUCCGGUCUCUCUGUGCGGGCCAAGUGUACACAGUUUUGUUCCGUCACAACUUCCACAACAGGCCAGUGUGAGGUUUUUGAGCUGGUGCUGACUGAAAACUGUCAGCUGCCCAAGGACCUGGGAGCUCUGCUCCCCACUCCUGGUGUGCGGGCUUGCGCCUGGCCUCCCUGCCUAGGUUACAUGCAGUGGUCAUCCCGGUCGCUCCCACACCCGUGUGGGCUCUGGGAUCCCCCCUUCCAGCCAGCCCAGGGGACAUCUGGCUGUCUCAGGACCCAGCCAUCUGUAAAAAUUAGGCAGGUCCCUUUAGUAUGCUCCUGGUCAACAAAGAAAAACUUCAAUUUUGAGAAUGGCAUCUGUAUUCCGAAGUGUUCUCUCAGAUGUUUGAGUUCCACUAAGUAGAUUUUCUUAGUCUGCUGUAUCAAUGACACAGAGAGAUGUGCAUUAAAACCUCAACCAUGUGGAUCUAUUUCUUUUCAGUUAAUUUUGCUUCAUGUAUCUUGAAGCUCUGUUAUCAGGUGCAUGCACAUUUGGGAUUGUUAUGCUUCCCUGAUGAACUGACCUUCUUUCAUUAUGCAAGGGGAAGAAGAUGCUGCAUACAGGAUGGAAUAUCCAGGGGAAGACGUCUAAGGAGAGAUGCCCAGCUGGGAGUCCUAUGCAAGGGGAAGAAGAUGCUGCAUACAGGAUGGGAUAUCCAGGGGAAGAUUUCUAAGGAGAGACACCCAGCUGGAAGUCAAGAUAUGUCAGUUGUUUCCAUUAUAAUAAAACCACUCAUGUUAGAUGAGCUGAACUUUCCCUUUUCCCCAGUUCUUAUGAUCAAAAAGUGGCUGUCCUAAAUUUCCUCACUCAAUAUCCUUGCUAGAGUCUUCCUUUGUCAGCCAGGCUGGAGUGCAAUGUGCAAUGGCACAAUCUUGGCUCACUGCAACCUCUGUCUCCUGGGCUCAAGCAAUUCUUCUGCCUCAGCCUCCUGAGUAGCUGGGAUUACAGGUAUGCACCACCAUGCCCAACUAAUUUUUGUAUUUCUGUAGAGACAAGGUUUCACCAUGUUGGCCAGGCUGGUCUCGAUCCUGACCUCAGGUAAUCUGCCCACCUUGGCCUCCCAAAGUGCUGGGAUUACAGACAUGAGCCAUCAUGCCCAGACAUAAGUGAGUUUUAUAUUGUAUUAUAACACUAUGAUACAGUAAAACCAUGAAAUCCAAAUUUAUAAUAAUAUCACCCUACAUAAUACAACUGUAACCUCACCGCCCUAUCCUGGGAUGUGUGUCAUUUUUAUAGCCAAUUAUGGUCCCCAGCUUUAGUUUUCUUUUGCUUAUUGGAGAGUGUAAUUCUCCCUUAUUCUUUUUGCUUUCUACAGUCUUGUGUACAUCAGUUAUCUGUUUUUGUCCUUUUGCCAGUGUUCAAAGUGUUAUUUUUCCUAUUUACUUAAGCUCCUGCAGGGAGAUUAGAAUUUCUUCCCCUAAGAAGAAAUAAGUAAUAGUGGAGACCUGCUGGGCACUGGUGGCGCCAGGCCUGGCUCCGGGGCUGCCCAUCCAUCCUCACAGCAUGGCGACUGGAGGGUCUUGCCCUGAGGUCCCGUGUGCGGAGCAGGGCUUGGCAUUCACUCCUAGGCACUGCUGACUCAGUCUGUCCUGGUGGUGCUGGGAGGCUGAAACCCGUCAUGCAUGUAGACCGCGGGGCCCCGUCUGGCAUGGUGCACCUGUGCUGGGAGUGCCUAUGGAGUAGGAAAAGUAUUCCUGGACCUUUAAAAAACUUAGGCCAAAAAAGUGUUUUGGUUGAAUCUUUGGCCAAAUUGGAACUGCAAACUCUGUAUUAUCUCCCCUUUUGUGAAAUUCUUUGGAAAAUUCGAGCAAAUAAGUAUGCAUUUCCCAGUG